UCUUACAUUCCAAUUUUUAUUUUCACCACAGAAGUAUCAGUUAUGGGAAGUAAAUGGGAGAAAACGACAGAAAAUGUAAUGCGGUUGACGAAAUUUGAGACAUCCCGUGUACACAAUCGAUACAGAUAACGAUCGAUAAAUAAAGACACCGAGACCUUCCCCGACUCUCUCCAGAUUCGUCACAUGAUCGGCGAUCUCCUUUAUCGCGUCCACCUGCUCCUGCAGGAAUUCAGUCUCCAAAAAAUCCAUGAAAU